UGCCAGUAUCCUGGUACACCUG
rnacentral:misc_RNA from 1 species